UUUUAGCCUUUACAUAUUAGGGGCUGUUUAUUCUAGAAGCUAGCAUUACCUUAAUGAUCACUUUGUUUCAUUUGACUGAAGCAGCAGGCCACGGGGUCUGAGCUGGGAUUCUGGCCUCGGCACAGUUUGGUUAUACACACGGCAGGUCCAUCCAGAGACCGAGCAUCCUGUGGGGACAGGGCCCCAGCGGAAACCGGGAAAUAUCCCAACAGUUCCCAUGAGCCUAUUUCUCUCCACUGCCCCUGCCCCUAGACUGGGUGCUCUGUGGGGACAGGUGACUAUGGGUUUACCUCUGUGUCUGCUGCACUUGGCACACGGUACAAGUCGAGAGUUUGGUUUGUGAUGGAAAAGCAGAUAGGAAGGCAUCUUAAUGAGGAUCUCUCCGAGACCGUAGGGAGUAGAGUCAGAAUAGUUGAGAACACUGUCAAGUCAGUGAUCUCCUCAUCCUCCACUUCCUCGUUUGUCCUUAAACAGACAGAGCCGCAUAAAGGCUGAGAGCCUGAGCUCUGACUCACUCACAGGGCUCUCUGUCCAGAUACCACCUCUUAGGUCCUGGGUCAUCUUGGGUCGAUUACUUGAGCUCCCCGGGUUGAGGUGUCCUCAUCUGUAUUCUGGUCCCACCUCGCUAGAUCUGCCAGGAAGAUGCCCCAGGGGUGCUUGGCCCACAAGGAAAGAUCUGAAAAUGUUAGCUGUUCUUAGCAAUGACAUCAGGUAACCUUCCUUUCCAUCCUCCUCCCACAAAAGGCCUUAGGGAAAUCGGGAGUAAGGUCUUGCGAUACAUUUUAAAUCUUUUUAAAAGUGAAAGGUGAUCUGUGAGCAUUUGACAUCAUCGGAGCUUUGAGCAUCUGCUUGUGGCCUUACUCUCCCACUCUUGUCCCCUUCCUUGGGCUGGGAUGAGGCCAACAGGCCAAUGCAGAGGGAGGCGGGGAAUGCCGGAGGGGGUGGUAAUUUUCACCUUGGCGCAUGACGUGUUUAUUAGUGUGCAUGUACGUUAAGCACAGCAGCCUAGUCUCCUCACGUUAAAUAGCAGUCAUGCCCAACUGGCUCUCCAUGUACCAUUACUCCAAGUGAUUGAGCCAAUUUCUCUCUCUGCCACCAGUUGAAGUUGUAAACUCCUCAGCCAGAUGGGGGGCAAUGCUGGGCUGCCUCUUGUGAUCAUCAUGAACCUUUAGGGUUAUGCUUACCAGACCCAGGGGUCUGUAGAGAAGCCAGAAUGGGGCAGGUGCGGACUGCGGACUCCCCACCACCCCUUGGGUCCAGCCUACCCAUGUGCACGCGAGCACUCCGGCUUUGCAAAGAGGCUGCCGCCUGCCAACGGAUUUGUGGUUGCUUGUGAGGGGGCCUGGUAGUAUGCUGGUGUCCUGUGUUCCGUUUGGCCGGAGAUAGGAAGGGGAGUGGUGAAAGCUGGGAAAAUUGUAAAAGCUGGGUGCCUCGACACUCAGAAAUCAUUUGCCAGCUGUAAUUUUUGUCUCUUUUCCAUAGAUUUAUUAGCCAGAUCUUAAAUCAUCCAGCGGAGACCUGCAGGGACAGUGGCCACCUCCUAGUUGCCCGCUAAUUCACCCGGACCAGGACAGGUCGGUGUCACUCCCGGAGUAAAAACCCUGCAGUGGUUCUUCUCGUGGCCUGCACGCGGCCUGUGGGCAGUGUCUCUGUGAGAAGGGAGAGUGGGCAGUGGAACUUGUCCUUGUCCUGUCUCUUUGGAGUGGUUACAAGGACAGUGGCCAGGUGAGUGCCAGGCUGCUGGUUGAACUUUAGGCCCCAAGGCUCCUCUCUGGCCUCUGUCUUCCCUGAAUCCCUUCAUGCCAUUAAACGCCAGGCUAAAACCUGGAACCAUAUCCACAAGAGCCCCAAGUUCAGCCCACAGGUCAAGUCCCAGAAUCCCACAGCAGUCUCCUCCUUGGUGAGAUAGGGGCCUGGCACGUCCGUCCUGCCCCCUGGGAUUGGUAAGGAAACCAAGGAA